UUUCCAGGGUUCUUUGCAAGUUUUUUGCACAAGGGGCUAUCUAAAAGGGGAGCAUUGUGAGUUCUUGCAUGAAUUGAGAGGCCUCAACUACUGGAACUACUGUCAAACAAAGUGCUAAUGACUCUAAAGAUGAGACCAGUUCUGAAGAUGAAAGUUCUGAUGAUGAGCCAUCUAAAGCUGAGUGUUAAGAAGUCUUCUACUGGGAAGGAGAGUAGUUCUGAUGAUUCCUCAUCAGAGGAGUCUAGUGAUGAAGAAGAGGAUGCGCCUUCAAAGACUCCAAAGUAGGUAAUUAGUUGUGUGUACAAAUCUGUUGCAGGCUCUUGAACUUAAUGGUCAACAGUGGUUGGGCCAAGAAGUGAAGCUUUACCUUGCUAAAGAGAGAGGAGCUUAUACUCUGAAUAGUGGGUAAGUCAUCUUCCCCUAAAAUUAGAUUUAUGGAUUGUGAGUUAAACAUAAUUAUAAUUAUUAUUAUUUUUUAAAUUUUUUG